GAAACUCAAAACGAAAAAGAUAGCGGCGUAUUUCACAGAGGCGGAGUUGGAGGUUUUAAUGCACGCUUAUGAGGAGUUUAAGCCAAUAAUAUUAAAAAGAAGCAAUACAGCUGCAUCGGCUAAAGCAAGAGAGUUGGCUUAACAAAAAAUAACGGACAGAGUAAAUGCGUGUAAUCCUUCUGGAGCCAGAAGAACUUUAAGCCACGUCAAAAUAAAACACAAAAACAUUCUGCAAAAAGCUAAUAGAAAGAAAACCGAAGCCCGUCUAACUGGCGGGGGCCCACCACCACCUCCCCUCACCCCAUCUGAUCAGUGGUUGCUGGCAUUCCAGGGGGCAGUUCCUCGCACACACCAUGCACCACAAGUGAUGGUGAAAAAAUGGUGAAAUAUACUGAUGGAUGAUUGUAUUAUUGGACCCUCCAGAAAGAACACAGUCUGUCACAGUUGAUGAAGAUGAUGAUGAAGAGACCACAUCUGCGGUGACAGAAGUGGACAAUGCUAGUAGAUCCACUGAGUACAUACCUAGGGAUUUGCCCACAGAUGAGGGUCCUUCAACCUCAGCACACAAUCUAAGCAGGUUGCCAGCAAAGGAGCUGUAGAAGGUCCAUCUUCAAAAACAAAUAAGAAAAAGUGACAUGUGACAUGGAGAUGGACCUUAUACAGCUUCAAAUGGAAGAGAAAAGGCUCCUCAUUAAAAAAGCAGCACUUGAACUGUAGGUGUUCCUCUGGGCCAUCUUCCUCAAUGCAAGGAGGGUGGCUCUCUACUCUUAUAGUGGCAAUAUUGUGAAGCACAACACAAGCCACUAAAAUGUCGCAUGCCCUCUCUGGACUAACCCGGAGCCCAUGCAGACACUGAAACCGAGAUUUGAGGAUCCCUCCACCUUGGCCCGUGUUCGGUUGAGAGCCAGGUUAAACCGUGUCUGUGGUCCAGGCUCAGGUUCAGGGUAAGGUGUCAUUAAAUAGGGCAGACAAGGGUAUCCUCUGUACCCCAGCAAGUAACCAUUGUACUGUCCUGUAAUGAUUGAAGUGUACAACACAAAUUGAAUGUAAAAAGGAAAAAAAAACAAUUGUAUAAAGCAAAACAUACCCUGCUGAUAUGUCUGGCAUAAUGAUGACUUGCAGAAAAUUCUGGCAUCAUUCAUAGAUCCUGGCCAUUUUGCCUCGACAUUGGUAAUGAUUUGGGUUGCCUCACAUAUUACCUAGUUAGUGGAAAAAAUAAUGACUUUAAUGAUUUUAAGAAGGGAAAAAAUUAAGUUGUUACCUGCACAUUGAUACUAUGAAUAGAUUUCCUAUUAACAUAGUCUCCCUCAUUUAUUGGUGGAGCUUUACUACAAAGAACAAACCUGCCACUCUGUGGAAUUCAUCUUUAAUAACAAGCAGAGGUUUAUGGCCAGGUUUAUGCACAAACGUGGGUAAGAACUGUUUAAGUGCCAGACAUACUGUACGAACGGCUCUACACACAGUUGCCUUUCCCACAUGCUCUGAAUCGCCCACACUGUACAAAAAAUGGCCAGACGCAAAAAACCUAAGUGCUAAGCGCAGAACCGCGGUUUGUCAUAUUUGCGAUAUGCGUGUUAAAUAAACUAACGAAUCUUUUGAAAAACGAUAACGCUCUUUCAAAUAUUUAUUAGGGUAUGCAAACACAUCAAUACGCGGUCUUAUAAACCUCUCCCGAAGAAAAAAACCAUGCUCACCAACCUUCUGCAACGAAGUUACACUGAAACAUAACCUGCUCCCGAGCAGGUUAUCUUCAGAGAGUCAGUUGCUAUGGUUACAUACAUACCCAGAAAGUUAACUCUGUUUUUGGAACCGAAAGUUGAGGUUAUCCACGAACUUACCCUUAAACAUACCCAGGUAUGUCACAUAACCUGCUUUCUGGAAUACCCCCCAGAAACUGAGUCAGGCCGAAUAAUAAACAAAAAUCAAAACAAAAAUCAAAACAAACGUGUAGCCAAUGAGCAGAAAGGGGCG